rnacentral:rRNA from 1 species
GACGAACGCUGGCGGCGUGCUUAACACAUGCAAGUCGAACGGAAAGGCCCUGCUUUUUUGGGGUGCUCGAGUGGCGAACGGGUGAGUAACACGUGAGUAACCUGCCCUUGACUUUGGGAUAACUUCAGGAAGCUGGGGCUAAUCCCGGAUAGGAGCUCCUGCUGCAUGGUGGGGGUUGGAAAGUUUCGGCGGUUGGGGAUGGAGUCGCGGCUUAUCAGCUUGUUGGUGGGGUAGUGGCUUACCAAGCGUUUCACGGGUAGCCGGCCUGAGAGGGUGACCGGCCAAGUGGCGACUGGGAGGCGGCACAGGGUCAUAUGGGAGGAAGGGGGGGAGAAUAUUGCAGAAAGGGCGGGAGCCUGAUGAAGGACCGCGGCGUGCGGAGUGACGGUCUUGGGGUUGAAAACCGCUUGCGCAAGAGACCAAGGGUGAGUCGGGAUAAUGAGUAAAAAAGCACCGGAAAAUCACG